rnacentral:rRNA from 1 species
AUUGAACGCUGGCGGCAGGCCUAACACAUGCAAGUCGAACGAGUGGCGGACGGGUGAGUAAUGUCUGGGAAACUGCCUGAUGGAGGGGGAUAACUACUGGAAACGGUAGCUAAUACCGCAUACCAUCGGAUGUGCCCAGAUGGGAUUAGCUAGUAGGUGGGGUAAAGGCUCACCUAGGCGACGAUCCCUAGCUGGUCUGAGAGGAUGACGAGGAAAAAGGGAACGGAGACACGGGCCAGAGUCCUAAGGGAGGCAGCAGUGGGGAAUAUGGCACAAGGGGCGCAAGCCUGAUGGAGCAAGGCCGCGUGUAUGAAGAAGGAGUGCGGGUUGUAAAGUACGGUCAGCGGGGAGGCGUUACCCGCAGAAGAAGCACCGGCUAACUCCGUGCCAGCAGCCGCGGUAAUUC